GCACCGGCGAGAGGAGGAGCCUCGGCGGCGGAGCUCCGCUUCCUCUCCGCCGCAAUCUCGGCCCGGCUUGGCCGGCGCUCGCCCUAAGGGAAUUGCAAUUCGAGCUUUGAUGGACGAUCACUGCUUCCACAUGGUGCUUCUGGGAAUCACCUAAGUCAUACUUCAGUUCCUGAAUCUCACUCAUUUGGAGGAUCCAGUUUAAUAUUGAUACCUGUCAUUCCUGGUGUGGUGUGCAGCAGGCAGAGGGAUGCUGCAGCAUAAUGAACGCUCAUGAUACCUGCUCACUUCUGCUCCCACCAUUUGAGUUAUGGACCUCAGCGAAUCCACCAUAUUUGUUCCCAAAUCUGACUAUAGCUGCUGUAACUGUCCUUAUAGAAUUUAAUUAAGUCCUAUUAAACAUGACUAUGUAAGUGCAAAACAAAAAGUUAUUCCGAUGAAAAUUAAGUUAAAUGCCUUGAAAGAAUGAGUGAAAGCGAGACACUGAAAAGAG
ensembl:lncRNA